AUGUGUCAAAAAUUUUCAACUGUUGUUUUGAACAGUUUGGAACUGGGUCAACCCAGCGAUUAGGAAUUAGAAAUAAUCGACUGGCUAGAUUGCAACAUCUUGACCGUUUGGCACGAGAAAAUAGGCAGACAUGGCCUGUCUGUUGGUCGUCCACUAUCUGGAACAUAGUACGGUGGAUCUGUUCAAGCGGUGGCGCUGGUGGCGAGCUGAAGUACGUUCGGAUCAUCAAUUACACGAAGCCGGCUGUUCUGAGUUAUGCUUUGUCCGUCAGAGAUACGCUUAUAUUAAGAUAAAAACUAUCAAAAAUGCUAUGUCCCAAGAAGAUCUGCGCUAUGCACUCCGCCCUGGUAGCGUCAAGUUAU